CCAAAACGAACGUAGGUAAACUUUUGCUUUUUCUACCUAUUCUCAAUUCUUCGUGUAGCCAUUUUCGAAAAUAAACAACAAUUAUUGCGGUAAAUUUUCUCUGCAGGCAAGAGGACCUAUCUGGGAUGGUUCCCAAGGCUAUAUCGCUUGUGCUAAUGGUAAAAUUACCACCCGAUCGGCGGAAAUGGAAGUAGAAAACAAGCCGUCGGAAAGGUGCUGUGCUUUGACCCUCAAUAGGAUGGACUCAGAGGAUGAUCACUGGAAAAAGAUCCGUAUCAAGCGGUUGAUAUCGCGGAGUCCGGGAGGAUCUAUCGCUGGUGGAUUCUGUGCAUGAAAAGCAGCUUCCGGGCAACCAUGACGUCCACGAAUUUUGGCGUCACGCACCACUCGCAGCAGGUCGGUCGGAGCUGCUCUCAAAGCCAAUCAGGAAACCAUCAGCUAACGAGACCGUCGUCAUGAACGAGCUCAAGCAUCGGGAGUAAGCCUGAAAAUAAAUGUUACAGCAGGCGUAGCCCAGAUUCCGAUCACUGUGCAAGCUUUUUUUAAAAUUGUGAAAAACAGUUAUGUGAAAAUUUGU